UGUGGUGUACCCGGAAGUUAUUUAACAUGUCAUAAAUAUCGAUUGCGUACUUAUCUAACAGCUCCUACGAAAUGGAGAAAGCUUUUCUUAAGUAUAUCUACAGAAGGCAUUGUAAGUUUGACGAACAUUCAGAAGUAGUAAAUGAGAUAGAAAAAACCGUUCAAAGUAUAGUGGAAAAAGUUUUGGCAAGAGUUGCAAAGAAGACACCUGUUCUUGAGAUUUCUAAAACCGUAAGUGGUGGAAGUUUCUAUGAGCAAACAAAAGUUGGAGCCCCUGAUGAAUUUGAUUACAUAGUUAUCGUCAAACUUUUAUCUCUACCAGGAGCAGUCAAAUUGGAGGGAUGAUGUACACCAUGGUACAAGAAAAUACACAUCACAAGUGAUGCAGACAAGUACAAAGACUAUUUGGAGUCAGAGGAUAAAUUAAGCAUGGAACUAAUGGCCAGAAAAUUUUGGGGAAGCUUAUUGGUUCAAUGUCAAAAUGAAGUCAUUUCCGAAACGUUUAAAUAUGGGACGAUAAGGACGAAAGGAUGCAAAUCUCGUAAACUCCUGUUAGGAUACAUAAAGCAUGAACGACUGGAAACACUUCAAGUGAACUACGAUGAAAAUCAAGUUUCCGAUAGCAAAGAGCUAGUUCAUUUACCUCACAUGGAAAUUGGAGUAGAUCUAAUGAUUGCUAUUGAUUAUCCAAACAUUGCAGACGUCAUUUCGCAAGAAGGUUUUCCUUCAUAAUGGAUUGAUCUAGUGAGAAAAAAAGGAUGUCAACUGGUUGCCAAAAGUUGCCAAUCAUUUAAUCCAUGCUCCAUCUGUUGGCAUAUAUCCCUAGCUACCUCUGAAUCGAGUCUAAUGAGGGAAAUGGAUGCAAAACAUAAAAAAUGCUAUCAAGUUUUGAAAUACCUUAUGAUAAGGGAGGUAACGUUUCCCGGAAAAUGCGCAAAUUUAUCAUCAUACAUGUUAAAAAAUGCUUUUAUGUUUCAUGUUUAUGGUAAAACCAAUUGUCCAAAGGACGAAAAUUUAUGUAUUUAUGCAGUGUUAGAUUAUAUAGCAAACAGUUAGUUCUCAAAUGUCAUGAUUGCUAUUUUUUCAUUCAACAGUUAUAUAUCACAUGAAGAAUAAACAGAAUAAACUAA